GGGUAUAGCUCAGUGGCAGAGUGUGUGCUUAGCAUGCACAAGGUCCUGGAUUCAAUCCCCAGUACCUCCA
rnacentral:tRNA from 1 species